rnacentral:rRNA from 1 species
CGCGGCCUAUCAGCUUGUUGGUGGGGUAAUGGCCUACCAAGGCGACGACGGGUAGCCGGCCUGAGAGGGUGACCGGCCACACUGGGACUGAGACACGGCCCAGACUCCUACGGGAGGCAGCAGUGGGGAAUAUUGGACAAUGGGCGGAAGCCUGAUCCAGCAACGCCGCGUGAGGGAUGACGGCCUUCGGGUUGUAAACCUCUUUCAGCACAGACGAAGC